rnacentral:rRNA from 1 species
AUUGAACGCUGGCGGCAUGCCUUACACAUGCAAGUCGAACGGCAGCACGGGGGCAACCCUGGUGGCGAGUGGCGAACGGGUGAGUAAUGCAUCGGAACGUACCCGGAAGUGGGGGAUAACGUAGCGAAAGUUACGCUAAUGCCGCAUAUUCUGUGAGCAGGAAAGUGGGGGACCGCAAGGCCUCACGCUUUCGGAGCGGCCCAUGUCGGAUUAGCGAGUUGGCGGGGGAAAGGCCCAACAAGGCGACGAUGCGUAGCGGGUCUGAGAGGAUGAUCCGCCACACUGGGACUGAGACACGGCCCAGACUCCUACGGGAGGCAGCAGUGGGGAAUUUUGGACAAUGGGCGCAAGCCUGAUCCAGCCAUGCCGCGUGAGUGAAGAAGGCCUUCGGGUUGUAAAGCUCUUUCGGCGGGGAAGAAAUUGCUUAGGUUAAUACCUUGAGUAGAUGACGGUACCCGCAUAAGAAGCACCGGCUAACUACGUGCCAGCCGCCGCAGUAACAC